rnacentral:rRNA from 1 species
UAGGGAAUCUUCCGCAAUGGACGCAAGUCUGACGGAGCAACGCCGCGUGAGUGAAGAAGGAUUUCGGUUCGUAAAACUCUGUUGUUAGAGAAGAACAGCGCAUAGAGUAACUGUUAUGCGUGUGACGGUAUCUAACCAGAAAGCCACGGCUAACUACGUGCCAGCAGCCGCGGUAAUACGUAGGUGGCAAGCGUUGUCCGGAUUUAUUGGGCGUAAAGCGAGCGCAGGCGGUCAAUUAAGUCUGAUGUGAAAGCCCCCGGCUCAACCGGGGAGGGUCAUUGGAAACUGGUUGACUUGAGUGCAGAAGAGGAGGGUGGAAUUCCAUGUGUGGCGGUGAAAUGCGUAGAUAUAUGGAGGAACACCAGUGGCGAAGGCGACUCUCUGGUCUGUAACUGACGCUGAGGCUCGAAAGCGUGGGUAGCAAACAGG